UAGAAGCAGCGUGUCAGCAGGAAAUGGUCACAGUCAGUUCCAGAUUUUGGACGUCAGCGCACAUAUAAGGCAUGUACAUGCAAGUCACCAGCUGGCUUUACUGUGCUCACCUUGUAGAAGCAUUUUUGGCCCGUCUUGUUCACCAUUCCCAAGAGGAGAGCACAGCUAUUGGUGACCACGGCCGACGACAACCCCCUGGGCAAGUACAUCUCUGUGUACCAGACGCAAAGGAGAGAGUGGACAGACUGACUUCCGAGUAAUCAUGUUGUCAUUAAGAAAUUUGUGCGACGUGACCCAAGCUCUACGUUUUGAAGUCUGCCGCCAGAGAUCUGGGGAAACUCCACCCACUCUUCAGGUCCUGAUCAAUGGAUUGGUGUUGACCAUCACAUCUGACACAUGACACCACCUUAUGGACACCAUCUUGAAUGAGUGAGUUUUAUCCAGAGCCAGAUGGAUGUGGAAUAACACCAUGGCAGCGGACGACCUUUGUGACCCUGGAGAUAACAGUUGAUUAUGUCAAGGCCGCCAAUCGCCAAUGUGUAGAAAUUCCCCAAUGAUAUUAUAUUUGGGUCAGAUGACAAGGAACCAAAUUUCAGAUUUUUAAAACAUUGUUCCAUGACCAAUGCGGAUGUUAUAGUAGUGUUCAAAAUAAUAGCAGUCCAAUAUGACUAACAGGACUAAUCCACGUUUUCAAUAUUUUUUAUUGCUACAUGUCAGACGAAAAAGUUAUCAGUAGGUCAGGGGUGCUCAAUGCGUCGAUCGCGAGGCACUCUUGGUCCAUCAUGGCACUGCGUGCUAAAAACAAAAAAAAAAAAAGAAAAAUGAAAAAAUACGUCAGCCAAUGUUCCCUUUAUACUCCGCGUGUGCGCACUUGUGGACCGCUGAUGCAGUCUCUUUGCAGAUAUUCUGUGUUGCGCGAAAAAAAAAAAUCCAAUGCAAAUUCAAAAUAUAACAGAGCUAUUCAUUUUGUGGCUUUUUGCAAUGUGGUUCAAUGAGUGAGAGAUGACUGCUUGUUACAUCCAAUGGCACAAUUCACAUAUGUACUGUAACAAAACGAAAAGAGGAAGCCACUGAUUUCUUUUGACAGUACAUCCAACUUUCUCUAACAACAACCGCUGAUCCGCCACACACUAUUUCCUAUUUUACCGUACGCCCCCCCCCCCAAAGCCUCCAGACAUGCUGCUUAUGUUUACUUUCGAUAUUAAUGGAGGAAAGUUAAAAAAGAAAUGCUGUUGUUUUAAGAUGCAAUGACUCUCGGAGUAUGUGAAUAAUCAAAGAAAUGUAAAAUUCCACCUUGGUACAGCCUGAUCCAGGAUGAAAGCAUAGACAAAACAGUGCACAAAAAGCUAAUUCUGCAUUUGAAAUAUAGGAGGCAAUGUAACAUUAACCUUAAAAUUCUUUGGGAGUAUUCCCCCCCGCUGUUGGUAGCUCGUGAGAGGCGAGUUGCUUGAGAAUUAGAUCUUGAGGUAAUAGUCUGGGCACCCCUGCAGUAAGUGCAGUAAAUUCUCAGAAAACCCACAAGACCCAUCAUUCAUGAUAUACACACUCUUGAGGCUGUGCAAUCGGGCAAUUUGUUGGAAGUGGUCCAUUAAAAAAUAGCAGUCUGGCAUUCAAUCAGUAACGUUAUCAAUUUUGUGGAAAAACAGGUGUGAAUCGGGUGUCCCCGAUUUAAGGAUGAAGUUACCUGUUGAACAAACAUUUCUCCUUGAAAGCCUGAGGAAAAUGGGACGUUCAACCCAUUGUUAAGAUGAACAGUGUACUUUGAUUAAAAUUUUGAUUGGAAAUGGGAAACUUUAUAAAGAGGUGCAAUAAAAUAUAGGCUGUUCAGCUAAAAUGAGAGCUAAACCAGGCACACCUGGCAGAAGACAUAUAACAUAAUAACAUGUAGAAUAACCAGAAUGGCAAAGGCUCAGCCAAUGAUCAGCUCCAAGAUGAUCAAAGAUGGUCUGGAGUUUCCUGUAAGUAAAGUACUGUGACAGUGAGAAAACAUCUGUGUGAAGCUAAUCUAUUUAGAAUCCCCUGCAAAGUCCCUUUGCCAAAGAUCACUGGCAGAAAAAGGAAUGGAGGAAUAUUUUGUGGAAUGAUGACAGUAAUAUUGUUCUUUUUGAGUCCAGGGGCCAUAGACGGUUCAUAAAACGACCCCCAAACUCUGAAUUCAAGCCACGGUACGCAGUGAAGACAGUGAAACAUGGUGUUGCAAACAUCAUGAAAUGGGCAUUUUUCUCCUACUAUGGUAUUGGGCCUAUUUAUCACAUAACAGGGAUCAUGGAUUGGUUUACAUAUGUCCAAGUACUUGAAGAGGUCAUGUUACCUUAUGCUAAUGAAGACACGCCCUUGAAAUGAGUGUUUCAGUAACACAAUGACCCAAACAGACUAAUAAAGUUAAUGUCAUAGCCCAGUGUUUAAUUGUGUCCAAUACGGUCGUUUCUACAUAGUUUGAGCUCUUGUUGUUUUAAUAGUGACAGAUGCCAUACUCUUCCUCCAUCUCCGGGAACUGCGCAACUCUCCCACAUUUCAAAACUCUUCCAUUUGCUUUUUGACUGAUUUCCUCCUUCGUCUUCCUCCACAGUUUCACAUUUGAUUCAGCCACUUUGAACUGAUGCGCUGCUUUGCGGUUUCCCCACUUCUUUCGGCAGGAGUGAUGACACUUUUCAAAGGGGCUGUAUAACUAGCCCUUGGAGUUGACUUUUUUUUUUUUGUCUUGGUUUAAAGUUAAAACAAACUCACGGGCAGCUGUUUGUGAUGUUUGAUGAAGUAGCAACAAAUGUGCUACGCUAACGACUGUAAAAUGGCAAACUCCCGCAAGCUUGUCAGGAAUCUCAGGUGGCACGCAUUACCGUUAUAUAAAUGUGCAACAUAAGAUUUUGAAUAUCAUAUUGAAGUGUAAAUGUGCAGUGCCUUGUGAAAGUAUUCGACCCCCUUGAAUAUUUCAAACUUUCACCACAUUUCCGGUUUCAAACUUAAAUUUUCAUUUAUUGUCAAGAAUCAACAAGUGGCACACAAUCGUGAAGUGGAAUUAAAUUUAUCGGAUAUUUUACAUUUUUUUUAACAAAAAAAAAAAACUGAUAAGUGGGGCGUGUAAUAUUAUUCGGCCCCUUUACUUUCAGUGCAGCAAACUCACUCAGUUCAGUGAGGAUCUCCGAAUGAUCCAAUGUUGACUGAUGAUGAUAAAUAGAAUCCACCUGUGUGUAAUCAAGUAUCAAUGCAACUGCUCUGUGACAGUCUAAGGGUUCUGUUUAAAGUGCAGAGAGCAUCAUGAAGACCAAGGAACACACCAGGCAGGGCCGAGAUACUGUUGUGGAGAAGUUUAAAGUCUGAUUUGGAUACAAAAACAUUUUCCAAGCUUCAAGGAGCACUGUGCAAGCAAUCAUAUUGAAAAGGAAGGAGUAUCAGAACACUGCAAAUCUACCAAGACCAGGCUGUCCCUCUAAACUUUCACCUCGAACAAGAAGACUGAUUAGAAAUGCAGUCAAGAGGCCCAUGCCCAACACUCUGCAGAGAUCUAGACCUGAGGUGGGAGAGUCUCUCCAUAGGACAACAAUGGACCUUUCCGAUGGCUAACUUAAGCUCCACCCCCGUAGCAUGUCCCACAAGCUUACAAAAUGGUGAUUGAACAUAACUUGUUUGAAAUCGAUUCUCUUUCGCGUAUUCCAAAAAUAUUGGUAUGUUUUUUGCCAAAUGCGUCAGACUUGUCCAACAGAGUUCUACAGAGAGGUCUCAACUAUUUCAGGCAAGGAUAUAUACACAGUAUUAAGAUUUUGGAUGGGGCAGGAUGCAAUGUCAGAGUUACAGCGAAAUGUUGGCGAUCGAUGCAAGUUUGAAAAAAAGUUUGUUUGACGCCUCAUAAACUUCAUAUUGAAAUCCAACAGGAUAAAAUAGUGGAAUUGUACUGUCCAUGUAAAGCAGGGUGAGUACUUUUUACUUGGAAAGAUCACGAGGAAUAUCAUUGUGCUCUAAGUGAGUGGGUGUAUUCAUUUGACUUGGUUCGUAAUCGAACACAGUGCUCUGUCUUAAGAGUCUGAUGUGAUAUGAAUAGGCAAAUAGACAUUUCUCUUGCAUGACAUCGCUCAUCCCCAACCCGACUCUUUGGCAUAAAAUAUUCCACACUUCAUUCAGCAGGUCAGUGAUCCACUAACAAAAUGAAAGUUGUUCUCUUGCAAUGUAUAAACCACUGAUGAUAAUUCAAUCAAACUCGGAGAAAGUACUUCUCCUUCACUUACCUUUGAACAUACAGCCUUGUUUGUUGAUAUUGUCCACAUUUAGUUGUACGUGCGGUCUUCCGCAAGCCUUGAUCCAAAAUUUCCAAGCGCACGCUACUGACAACCAGCAUUGCUUGUGGGACAAUACGGCAAGAGGGACGUGUCACGCCAGGGGUUAAGACAAUGCGGCUCUCUAAUUGGCUAUUAUUGUACGAGUGAUUGACAGGUUGGAAAGCUCCAUUAGUUGUAGAUUGCACAAAUCUGCCCUUGAUGGAAGACUGGCAAGAAGAAAGCCAUUUCUCAAAGAUAUCCAUAAUAAGUGUCGCUUAAAGUUUGCCACAAGCCACCUGGGUGACACACCAAACAUGUGGAAGGUGUUUGUCAGAUGAAACCAAAAUCAAAGUUUUUGGCCACAAUGCAAAACGAUAUGUUUGCCGUAAAAGCAACACAGCUCAUCACCCUGAACACACGAUCCCCACUGUCAAACAUGGUGGUGGCAGCCUCGUGGUUUGGGCAUGCUUUUCUUCAGCAGGGACAGGGAAGAUGGUUAAAAUUGAUGGGAAGAUUAAUGGAGCCAAAUACAGGACCAUUCUGGAAGAAAACCUGUUGGAGUCUGCAAAAGACAGACUGGGACGGAGAUUUAUCUUCCAACAGGACAAUCAUCCAAAACAUAAAAGCAAAAUCUACAAUGGAAUGGUUCACAGAUAAAGGUAUGGAGGUGUUAGAAUGGCCAAGUCAAUAGUCCAGACCUGAAUCCAAUCGAGACUGCUGUUCACAAAUGCUCUCAAUCCAACCUCACUGAGCUCGAGCUGUCUUGCAAGGAUGAAUGGGCAAGAAUUUCAGUCUCUCAAUGUACAAAAUUGAUAGACAUACCCCAGGGACUUGCAGCUGUAAUUGCAGCAAAAAGUGGCGUUACAAAGUAUUAAUGCAAGGAGGCUGAAAAAUAUUGCACGGUCUACUUUUGAGGUUUUUUUUUUGCUAAUUUUUUUUUUUAAAUAUCCAAUAAAUUUCAUUCCACUUCACGGUUGUGUCUCACUUGUUGAUUCUUGACAAAAAAAAAAUGGAAUUUUAUAUCUCUAUGUUUGAAGCCUGAAAUAAGGCAAAAGGUUGAAAAGUUCAAGGGGAAUAGUUUCACAAGGUGCUGUUUACCUUUUUUACCACCCUUUGUUCCUGUACACGACUAUAAAAUCAGAUUUUCGUUUUUUUUAAUCUAUACCUAAAUAUUAUGCACUCUGUUGACUGAAAAUAUUUUUGGAAUAUUUUGCACAUUAUACAUGAAAAAUUAUAGGACUGGAAAAACUGGAUUAAUCUGUUUAGUCACAUUGGACUGCUUUUGUUUUGAACACUACUAUUACUUUAUAAAUAUUUGUGAAGCUAUUUGUACCUUUGUUUUAAAUUUACUUCCAGAAAUGUCUUCACAUUUACCUCUGUCGUUUUGAAAAUUAAAUUUUUUCAUCAAUA